UGAAACACGAAAGUGGAGACAACGUUUUGGCUCCUCUCUGAGCCUUUAUCAAGUCUUUAUCAGAGAGGAGCUGAAACGUUGUCUCCACUUUCUUGUUUC